rnacentral:rRNA from 1 species
GCGUAAAGCGAGCGCAGGCGGAAGAAUAAGUCUGAUGUGAAAGCCCUCGGCUUAACCGAGGAAUUGCAUCGGAAACUGUUUUUCUUGAGUGCAGAAGAGGAGAGUAGAACUCCAUGUGUAGCGGUGGAAUGCGUAGAUAUAUGGAAGAAUACCAGUGGCGAAGGCGGCUCUCUGGUCUGCAACUGACGCUGAGGCUCGAAA